rnacentral:piRNA from 1 species
UUGCACAGAGAAGCUGUCCA